rnacentral:misc_RNA from 1 species
CUGGCGUAUUCUUUAUCUGUACCCGUCAUGCGUACCAUGGCAAACUAAGAAUCACGUAACACUGGUUUUGCUUCAGAAGAUGAUAAAAUUAUAAGAGUUGAUUGUGAACUUUGUUUUAUAGUGGGAUUAAGAGAAUCAUGGAAUUUGAACCUUGUAAUUUCUCAUGAAUUUCAUUGAUAAUUGCUCAGCAUUGUAUAGCCUAGGCUUACAUGUUGUGUACCCAAUAGGAAGCGGAUGUUUGUUACUCCGUUAUAACUUCAUUUUGUUAAAACUGAAG